rnacentral:rRNA from 1 species
AUCAUCUGACGAUAUUACUAGGGGGAGUUUAUACAGUGACUGGGAAACAAGUCGAACGGAGCAACAGAUGUAGCAAUACAAAUGAUGUUCAGUGGCGCAAGGGUGAGUAACACGUGGGCAACCUGCCCGAAAGAACGGGAUAGCCCGCCGAAAGGCGGAUUAAUACCGUAUGUGACGAGAAGAGGAGACUCUUUGAUGUUAAAGUCGGAGCAAUCUGACGCUUUUGGAUGGGCCCGCGGCCUAUCAGCUAGUUGGUGAGGUAACGGCCCACCAAGGCUAUGACGGGUAGCUGGUCUGAGAGGACGACCAGCCACACUGGAACUGAGACACGGUCCAGACACCUACGGGUGGCAGCAGUCGAGAAUUUUUCUCAAUGGGGGAAACCCUGAAGGAGCGACGCCGCGUGGAGGAUGAAGGUCUUCGGAUUGUAAACUCCUGUCAUGAGGGAGUAAGACACAGCGUUAACUGCGUAUGUGUUUGAUAGUACCUCAAGAGGAAGAGACGGCUAACUCUGUGCCAGCAGCCGCGGUAAUACAGAGGUCUCAAGCGUUGUUCGGAUUCAUUGGGCGUAAAGGGUGCGUAGGUGGCGUGGUAAGUCAGAUGUGAAAUCCCCGGGCUCAACCUGGGAACUGCAUUUGAUACUGCCAUGCUUGAGUGCUGGAGGGGAGACUGGAAUUCACGGUGUAGCAGUGAAAUGCGUAGAUAUCGUGAGGAAGACCGGUGGCGAAGGCGAGUCUCUGGACAGCAACUGACACUGAGGCACGAAGGCUAGGGGAGCAAACGGGAUUAGAUACCCCGGUAGUCCUAGCAGUAAACGGUGCGCGUUUGGUAUGGGGGGAUCGACCCCUUCCGUGCCGGAGCUAACGCGUUAAACGCGCCGCCUGGGGAGUACGGUCGCAAGAUUAAAACUCAAAGAAAUUGACGGGGGCCCGCACAAGCGGUGGAGUAUGUGGUUUAAUUCGAUGCAACGCGAAGAACCUUACCUGGGCUUGACAUGCAUCUCUAAGUUGGUGAAAGCCAGCGAGUGCGUAGCAA